rnacentral:rRNA from 1 species
UACGGGGGGGCAAGCGUUGUUCGGAAUUACUGGGCGUAAAGGGCUCGUAGGUGGCCAACUAAGUCAGACGUGAAAUCCCUCGGCUUAACCGGGGAACUGCGUCUGAUACUGGAUGGCUUGAGUGUGGGAGAGGGAUGCGGAAUUCCUGGUGUAGCGGUGGAAUGCGCAGAUAUCAGGAGGAACACCGGUGGCGAAGGCGACUACCUGGCCUGUUCUUGACGCUGAGGCGCGAAAGCUAGGGGAGCAAACGGG